rnacentral:lncRNA from 1 species
GACACCUUCGCGGACGCAGCCUUCUCCUUCUCCUUCUCCUUCCCCAUAUCCCCACCCCACAGCAGUCGCCCACAUAAUUUAAAUGCAUUUCCUUUUGCGCAUUAAUUUCCUAAGCUUUUUUGCAUACGAAAAUCCCUCGCAAAACUGCGUUCGAUGUAAUCCCAUGAGCUUUAAAGUCACGUGUGUGUUUGCACCGCCCGGGGGCAUGUCUGCUUGUGUGCGGCGCUGUUGCCACAAUCCGACCAUCAUUUCUAGGGCUGGGGCAGGAGUCGAGGCACGCACAACAAAAGCAUUGCCCGUCGCUGGAUUUGUUUUUGUAUUCGCAUGUAAUAAAUGUAUUUGUUUAUCCCCCC